rnacentral:rRNA from 1 species
CCGGAAAAAUGGACUAGCUACUGCAAUCAAUUAAAAUUGAUAACAUAAGGGAAAAUAAUGAUAUUACCUUAUUAUUAGUGUCGUCCAAAACUGGUGCCAGAAGACUCGGUAAGGCCAGAGACACAAACGUUAAUCGUCUUAAUCAGGCGUAAAGGGUUUGUAGGCGGCUUUUAAUUUACUUAUAUAUAUUUAAAAAUAAGUUAAGAAUAAAAGCUAGAAUCAAAUAGAGGAUAUAUCAAAUAAUGCUUAGAGUAGGUCUGAUAUCCUUAGAUACUAAGUAGAAUAUUAAAGGCGAAAGCUUUUUUCCAUAAAUGAUUGACGCUCAGAAACGAAGGUGAGGAUAGAAAAUAGGAUUAGAUACCCAAAAUAUCCCUCUCUGUCAACGAUGAAUGGUAAUUAUUAAUAAUAAAUUUAUUAUUAAUGGCAAUGUUAACACGAUAACCAUUCCGCCUUGUGAGUACAACUGCAAAGUUGAAAACAAAAAAAUUAGUCGGUUUCGGAGCAAACGAAGUGAAGCAUGUUAUUUAAUUCAUUAAUCCGCCAAAC